GGUUAAGCGACUAAGCGUACACGGUGGAUGCCCUGGCAGUCAGAGGCGAUGAAGGRCGUGCUAAUCUGCGAUAAGCGCCGGUAAGGUGAUAUGAACCGUUAUAACCGGCGAUUUCCGAAUGGGGAAACCCAGUGUGAUUCGUCACACUAUCAUUAACUGAAUCCAUAGGUUAAUGAGGCGAACCGGGGGAACUGAAACAUCUAAGUACCCCGAGGAAAAGAAAUCAACCGAGAUUCCCCCAGUAGCGGCGAGCGAACGGGGAGGAGCCCAGAGCCUGAAUCAGCAUG
rnacentral:rRNA from 1 species